UACGAAGGACCCAAGCGUUAUCCGGAUUAUUGGUUUGAAAGGGUGCGUAGGCGGGUUAUUAAGUCAGUGGUGAAAGCCUGCAGCUUAACUGCAGAACUGCCAUUGAUACUGAUGAUCUUGAGUAUGAUUGAGGUGGGCGGAAUGUGUCAUGUAGCGGUGAAAUGCUUAGAUAUGACAACAGAACACCGAGUUGCGAAGGCAGCUCACUAAGCCAUAACUGACGCUGAUGCACGAAAGCGUGGGGAGCAAACAGG
rnacentral:rRNA from 1 species